CAGGCCAAGACGGAAGGAGGCGGGGCUCUGCCCGGAGGAGGUGGAGAAGUUCCGCCCCCCGGAUCUCCGGCUUCCGGCAACUCGGCUGGACCUGGACCUGCCUGGUACUACUGAGGUUGGAGCCUCCCCCCGACCAGCUGGACGCCGAGCCCCUCGAGACCUCUGCAAAAUUUCUUCUUAAUAAUUGGGAGAAGACCCGCUGGCUGGAUGGCAGCUGUAGGUGAUUUGCAGUUUGAAGAAUUUGGUAACGCGGCCGCUACUGCAGCAGAAAACCCAGGUGCCACCACGAUAAGUAUCGAGGGUCCUGGUGAAAGCCCGGCGCAUCAAGCAGGACUCCCAAGAGGCUCCGGGGGAGAAGAGGAUGAUGAGUUGCUGGGAAACGAUGACUCUGACAAAACUGAGUUACUUGCUGGCCAGAAGAAAAGCUCCCCCUUCUGGACAUUUGAAUACUAUCAAACAUUCUUUGACGUAGACACUUACCAGGUCUUUGACAGAAUAAAGGGGUCCCUUUUGCCAAUACCAGGAAAAAACUUUGUGAGGUUAUAUAUCCGCAGCAAUCCAGAUCUUUACGGCCCCUUUUGGAUAUGUGCCACAUUGGUCUUUGCCAUAGCAAUUAGUGGGAAUCUUUCCAACUUCUUAAUCCAUCUGGGAGAGAAGACAUACCAUUAUGUGCCCGAAUUCCGAAAAGUGUCCAUAGCGGCCACGAUCAUAUAUGCCUAUGCUUGGCUGGUUCCUCUCGCACUCUGGGGUUUCCUCAUGUGGAGAAACAGCAAAGUUAUGAACAUCGUUUCCUACUCGUUUUUGGAGAUUGUGUGCGUCUAUGGAUAUUCGCUCUUCAUUUAUAUCCCCACAGCAGUGCUGUGGAUUAUCCCCCAGAAAGCUGUUCGUUGGAUUCUAGUCAUGAUUGCCCUGGGUGUCUCAGGCUCUGUCUUGGCAAUGACAUUUUGGCCAGCCGUUCGUGAGGAUAACCGGCGCAUCGCACUGGCCACAAUUGUGACAAUUGUGUUGCUUCACACGCUGCUUUCUGUGGGCUGCUUGGUAUGGUCUCAUUCCUGUGAUCUUCCUGUGUGCCUCAGAUACAAAUGCUGAAAGACCUCAACCUGUUACUCACAACGAACGGGUCUUUUAAGACGGGCUCCAUAAAAUCAAUAUUGUUUUGAAUAGACUGUCCUAAAUGAGAAGCGGUAAAUUGAUGAGAAUUUGAUGGUAAUCUCUGGCUUUACCUAAUUUCUGAAACUUGGUAAGAUUUGGAGUCUGGCCAGAGGAAGUCGGGGUGGAUGAGUGUCUGUAAGAGGUUGGGGGGCGGGGGUGGUGGGGGGAUGUUCAACCUUUGGAUGUCUUUGCAGGUUUUCUGCACAUACCUAGAAAGAGUUUUGAAAUUUCCAGUUUCAUAGGUGGAAAGUCUGAGCAUGAAAUCAAAUUAGGAGAGGGGAGAUAUUUUUAAGGUGAAUAACAUUUAAAAGAGGUUUUGGGUUCGUGUAUUUGGGUGUCUUUUUAGGGAGAGCAUGUGGUUUUCAGGCAGGUCCAGAUUGAAGACCAGCUCUGUCACUCACUGGCUGUGUGAGCUGGGCCAUGGUACCUACCUUCUCUGAAUCUGAACGACUUAAUCGGUAACAUGGGCAUAAAAUUUCCUGCCACCUAGGGUUGUAUUGAGGAUAAAAAAAAAUAAUACAUAUAAAAGUUAAUAUAGAACUUGUCCCACAAAUGCCCAUAAAUUAGGUCCCUUUCCCUUGGUCCUAAGGAAACACGGUUUUAUAUCUUUUGUGCACAUUGUACAAACCACAGUUUUAUAUCUUUUGUGCACAUUGUACACAAAAAUUGCUGCCCAUGGCCUUAACAAGGCCUGAAGCAGGUUUUUAAAGAACACCGAGUCCAAGAAUGUUAAGGUCACUAAUGAAGGAAAGAAUGUGCCCACAGGAAGAUACCCAUAUUGCAUGUGUCCAGACCCUUGGCCGGGUUUUACAGCUGUGGGAGUAAAUAUUUCUUUGGCACCAUUUGAUCUGUGAUAGUUUUGUGUAGACAACCUGGGUCAUUAAUAAGAUCCCAAUACUUGAUCAUUGAACAAAGUCUCAUACAAAGUGCCAAGUUCUGAAACACGGACCUGGUUUACGUGCAGUUUACAUGUCUAAGCUUUAAAUUUUUGAGACGGAGGACUAUCGGUCUGACUCACGGCAGAGUGACACCAUUGAUUUCGGGGACUUGAAGUCCCUGGGCUGACCCAUUGUAACGCUGCUGAGGCCUUUCUUGACCUUUCUGUCUGCGGAGGAAGAAUGUCCUUUCUCGCCGUAGCCCCCUCACUGGUGUCUCCCCACGUCUCUCUUGAAAAUUUCCCCGCAUAUACCUAGUUGAGUUGGUGGAGAGAGGAAGCAAGAGAAGAAGCACUGCCUUGUUCAGUUCUGUAAAGAAUAGAGAGGAGCGUGGCAGAUUAGACGAUGGGGCAGGGAGGUGGUGGUGAUGGUAAUAUUACUGAGAACCUAUUUCCUUUGGUGUGGGUGGCAGGGUCUUUUACCUCCCAUGCCUGUUACUCCCUUUUGGGGGUAAAUGACACUGAAGUUAGGAUUUACCUGCCCGUCCUGCUGCUCCGGAACUUGCUGGAAGAGAGCAUUAUAAUGAAAUAAAAAGAGCCCUGGACUGGGCUUAGCUUUGUGAGCCUAGGCGAGUGACUUCGUUCUCAGAGCCCUGGCUUCCUCCUCUGUCAUGGAGACUCAUAUUUUGUGGGCUCUUGUGAGACUCAGGGAGAUGGCCGUGAGAGCCCUUCAUGUGUCGUGAAGGGUUCUUCAGGUGUAAAGAAGGUACUAAGAGAGCCCUGUGUGAUCUGAAGCUGCCAAGGCCACUCUGCUACCUCUUCCUCCUGAGUGCCCCAGUGAGAGUGGUCCAAGGUCACACAGCUCGAAAGACGGGGCCCUUUCAUUGGUGCCUCUCACUGGCAUCUUCCCACCUCUCUCCAGAAUGCCUUUUCCAUCAUACACCUGGCUGGGAAGUUGGAGGAGAGAAGGAGACAGGAGAGAAGGCUUCUUCUUGUUCACUUCUUAGGGAGCCCAAGGAGCCAGGCACGUUGGAUGAUGGAGCAGGGAGGGAACUGCAGGUGUAGACCCCCUCUUGGAGGGAGGUGCAGUUUUCUCCUCCUCGGGGAAGGGAACCAUCCCAUGAUCGGGUUUAGCCAGGGGCCUUCUGUGCCUGGGGUUUUGCUCUCCAUGCUGGAGAUGGCCUCCUCUUAUCUCUUCUGGAGAUGUGCAGUACAAGAGGUUGGAGCAGAAGUUAGGAGAUGGGGUCUGGUCCCAGCUCCUUCGCUCCCUGCUUUCGUUAUUUCCCCUCUCUGGCCCCUACCUCCUCACUUAGAAAACGGAGCUGCAGGAACAUCUUUACUGUUGUAAGGACUGAAUGAUACAUGCAACAUGAACAAUACAAGCAGAUAUCGUAUGCCGUAUGAACAAUAUGCCGUAUGAACAAUACGGCAGAUAUUAUUAUUAGUGGAAGGGCAGAAGGGAGAAGAAUUGUCAGGGGAGGGGCACUGGCUGACCCACACAGCUUGGCUUCUCACUGCCCCAGGAAGCACGGAUUGCGGGUUUUAAAGCUUCAAUGUACUAAAGUAUUUGACAGUCCUCUAUCUGCCAAGGGCCCCUCAGGGCUCACAGUUGUAUGCUAAGUUGGUAGUGGAAGCUCACUCCAGGUGGGGAGGACUAAGGAAGCACCAGAGGGUGCAUCCUUGACUGGUGGAUUGGAGAUGUACAAGCCUGCGUUUGCCGUGGUUACUGCUGAUGGUGGACAGUCCUGUGCCCUCUCUGCCAGGGGACACUCCCAGCCCUACUGCUAGAAAGCCUGAUGUUUCAUCCUGAGGCCUCCACAGUGCCUCGUCCUAGACUGGACAUAGUCUACGGCCAUACCACCCUGAACACGCCCAUCUCAUCUGAUCUAGACUGGGCAUAAAGUUAGGUGCCAAACUGCAGGCAGCACUGGAGAAGAGAAGAAUGUAGUUUUUGGAGCCGGACACAACCAGAUUGAAGCCCUCAGACACAGGGUUGUGUAGCUUUGGGAAAAUCUCUUUGCCACUUGCUCAUCUUUAAAAUGGGGAUAAAAUUGCCUAUUACAGGAUUAUCGAGUAGGUUAAUGAUCUAUGCGCCUGAUGCACAGUAGGUACUCCCUGAAUGACAACUGUGGCUAUCGCUAAGUAUUUGUGGAAUUAAUGAACUAAUGAGCCGUAGAAUUACAGUUUGACCUUAGAGGCCAUUUUUUCCAAUCCUUCCAUUUCACAGAUUAGAAAACUGAGACUCACGGGUGGAGUGAUUUGUCCAGAGUUACUGUGCGAGUUACUAGCAAAACCAGGUUUAGAACCUGGCCUCUUGGCUCAUUCCCUCUGAUGAGGGUUUCGUCCAGUAGCCUGGAAGAAAGGUACUGUUCCUGCCUCAUGAGGGCUUUGUGGCUCUACCUUCACGAUAUCUGGAGGAGCCCAACACUAUAGCAGCAUGUCCCCUGUCCCCUUGUUAAUUUAGGGACCAUUCUUUCCCUGCCUCAGAAAACAAGUGCCAGAAGGGACCCUGGGAGGAAGGCUUUUAGGGCUAAUAGGAUUGCUCAGGGAAUGUGACAAACUAGGGGCGCCCUGUAGCUGGAAACUUUGAAAUGGAUUGCUGAAGAGCUAACACAGAAUAAGAGUAUGUUGGGCAAAGUUCUAGUGUGUCAUGUUGGUGCCCCCUUCUGGCUGAUAGAGAGCAGCGCUGGCAAAAUGGUUCUUGACUUGGCUUUUUAUCCAUUUAAUCCCUAUGCCCUUACUUCCAAGGGGGAAUCACAAGUGUGCAGUGAUCCUUGAUCUGUUAAGAGAUUCACCUUUCCUUUGAACAACCCAGGUAUUUUACUGGGCUAAAGUCAAGAUUCGCAGACCUUGAGACAGGUCGGAAGAUCCUCCUUGGUUUUUUCCCUCUUCUAUCUCCUCCUGAUUUUUGACAGUUAAAUUGCAGACGUUGACUGAAAGCAUUUAUCAAACCUUUCAUUUUCACGCUGAAGAAUUAUGAGGCAUACUUUUUUGAUGCACCGGAGAUGGACCACCUCCCCACAGCCACAGCUGCUCCAAACCAAACAGUUGCAGCAGCCAAGGCCCGCUGAAAAGGAAAUUCUCUUUUAUGUGUUUUGGCGUGUGUCUCCUUUGGACGUGGCAUCUCCUGCAGGAAAGCAGAACGACCAAGUGCAGGAAAACUGAUGCAAUGGCACCACCUUUGGCAUCUCUCUGUGAGGUGUCACCCUGAAACCCAGUCACCUAAUUUAACACACAGCAAUUAAACGUUGUUCAGCGCCUGUGUCUUUCAGCUCUUCUUUCUCAACUGUCGAUUACCAUCGGGACUAUGCCCUGAUUUGGAAUGGAACACAAGGGAACGUGGUAUGUGUGCCUGCCAUUUGCCUCUCGCUGUCAUGUGACAUGCUUCACAUUAGGUCUGCCCUUGAUACGUGGAAUGGAUCCAUCCCGAGCUUCUCAUGUCUUUGUUCUGGAUGUUCCUCUAAGGUGAUCCUCUCCUCUCCAAAUGCUUGCCAUCCUAAAGUGGCCAAACUGUAUGAACUUUGGUUCGGAUCCACUGGGAGCCUGAACAUUUGUCUUUGGUGACCUGACACUGAGCAAGCAAACCUAGUCGUUGCAAAUAAAUACCUCAUAGAAUGUCUGUCUGCA